AAUGUUCCAUUCCUUGUUUUAGGCAACAAAAUUGACAUACCAUAUGCUGCCUCAGAAGACGAGUUGCGUUACCACCUUGGCUUGACCAACUUCACCACUGGCAAGGGUAAGGUGAACUUGGGAGACUCAAAUGUCCGUCCCUUGGAGGUAUUCAUGUGUAGCAUUGUUCGAAAAAUGGGCUAUGGAGAUGGUUUCAAGUGGCUUUC
rnacentral:misc_RNA from 1 species